GUCCAUAUGGUCUAGCGGUUAGGGUUCCUGGUUUUCUCCCAGGUGCCGGGUUCAACUCCGGUAUGGGAA